UCAGACGAUGCGUCAUGCAUAUCAAUAAGCGGAGGAAAAGAAACUAACAAAGAUUCCCCUAGUAACGGCGAGUGAAGCGGGAAGAGCUCAAAUUUGAAAUCUUAAAGGGUUUCCCUUUACGAAUUGUAGUUUAAAGAAGUGUUUUCUGUUGAGGUUUUGGUAAAAGUUCUUUGGAAUAGGACAUCAUAGAGGGUGAGAAUCCCGUAUUUGACCUUUACUUUCAACUUUGUGAUACACUUUCAAAGAGUCGGAUUGUUUGGGAAUGCAGUCCAAAAUGGGUGGUAAAUUUCAUCUAAAGCUAAAUAUUGGCGAGAGACCGAUAGCGAACAAGUACCGUGAGGGAAAGAUGAAAAGAACUUUGAAAAGAGAGUUAAACAGUACGUGAAAUUGUCAAAAGGGAAGCGUUUGACACCAGUGUUGUUUUUCUGAAAAUCAAUUAAGGAACUGUUUAUGCUAAGCUGUUUAGACUUUAUCAGCUAUCUGUUUAGUUUUGAGCUUUUCUUUAAUGCACUUUUCAGUUAACAAGUCAACAUCAAUUUCUUUUGCUGUAAAAAAGCUUGAGGAAGGUGGCUUGAGAUUCGUCUUAAGUGUUUAUAGCCUCUUGCCUAUGCAGUCGGAGAGAUUGAGGUCUGCAGCGUAGAUCCUUCGGGGCUAAAUGCAUUUGUGCUAAGUUAUAGCAUUUUAUAGACAACUUGUUGACUAUGAUUUGUCUUGUAGCUUACUCGCUUAUGUUAUUUUACCUACGCUUAGGAUGUUGAGCGCAUGUCUCUCUCU
rnacentral:rRNA from 1 species